rnacentral:lncRNA from 1 species
CGCAAGAUGCUGCGCCAGCCCGUGCCCAAGAAGCACCACCACCACCACCACGCCGGCGGCGGCUGCUGCUCCCACGACGCUCCUGCUGCCGCGGCGGCCGGCUCGUCCCCAGCGUCCGCUUCGCCGGAGAAGUAGGCCGACUCAUUAGAUGGUAAGCUGCUGCCUCAUCUCGAUCUGUUAAUUUUUGCAGAAUUAGCUCCAGAAAAUUAAAUUGAUGCUUGUUGUAACCCUGUUAUUUAGUCUCGAUUAUUCAAAUCUUGCUGUUGGAUCUUGGAUUUUGCUAGGAAAAUUAAGUUGAUGUCUGUGUCAAGUUUGCUUUCCUACUGAAUUGAAUACUGCUGUGCGAUGAACAUCAUAGCCAAAUCUUGCUGUUGGAACUUGUGUGUGCGGCGCCUCUCUCACCUUUGGCUUCUUGAGAUUGACCUUUCUCAAAGUUGCCCAGUCAUGGUGGCGCAUAGUGAUCACUGGCCGGUUUAACGUGGGAGCUAGCAGUUUGUUGCCAUGCUUCCAAAAUCUCUCGCCACAUCUCCUGUUAUCAUAACAACAAUACUUUUUUGAUCUCAUGUGGUUUGAUGGGCAUUCAUCAGUUCUGACCUUAUGCUUACCGUGCUCCGGUGCCUCUCUCACCUUUGGCAUCUUGAGAUUGUUCUUUCUCAAAGUUGCCCAGUCAUAGUGGCACAUAGUGAUUCCUGGUGAGUUUAACGUGGGAGGUCACUCUUUAUGGUUAUGCUUCCAAAAUCUCUCGCUACAACUGUUUGAUUAAAACACUUCUCUUUACAUUGCUUGUGAUUAUAGUGGUUAUGAAAAUCUAAAUUGAGACCUGAAUUUGUUGCUUGCUGCAUGCUAAUCUAAGUUUUGUCAAUGAUGAUUAUGUCUGCAAAAUGUAUGCUCUGUGGAUUCGAGCCCCUGUUUCAGGGAGAACCUCUUGAUGAAGCAGAUAUAAUAUGGCAUCAAUUGACAAAUCUGAGACAUAUUGUAGCAUUGUUCUGCUUAUUGCCUUGUUAUUUUAGUUGUUAAAUGUACUGAGUUGUGACUUCUGAUUUUGCAACUAUCUUUGUUGCCUUCACCUUAAUCAGCAUUUGCUAAAGUUUUGCCAAUGAUGAUUCUGUCUGCAAAAUGGAUGCUCUGUGGAUUCAAGCCCCUGUUUCAGGGAGAACCUCUUGAUGAAGCAGAUAUAAUAUGACAUCAAUUGACAAAUCUGAGACAUCUUGUAGCAUUGUUCUGCUUAUUGCCUGGUUAUUUUAGUAGUUAGAAUGUAUUGAGGUGUUUACAUCUGAUUUUGCAACUAUCUCUGUUGCCUGAUACCUUACCCAUCAUUUGCUUAAGUUUUGCCAAUGAUGAUUCUGUCUGCAAAAUGGAUGCUCUGUGGAUUCAAGCCCCUGUUUCAGGGAGAACCUCUUGAUGAAGCAGAUAUAAUGUGACAUCAAUUGACAAAUCUGAGACAAUAGUAUAAUACUGUGCUAGUAGAUUGAAUUGAGUAUUGAGUUUUUAUUUAGCUCGUUUGUUGCAUGAUAUGUAUAAAUUAUUUGUGGUUUUCCUAUGAUGAUUCUGUCUGCAAAAUGGAUGCCCUGUGGACUCAAGCCCCUGUAUCAGGGAGAACCUCUUGAGAAAGCAGAUGUAAAAUGACAUCAAAUGACAAAUCUGAGGUGUUCCAUUUUGUGCUUCCUAGUAUCAUGUCAUCAAUUGAUAAAUUUGAGGUAUUCCAUGACGUUGUGCUUCCUGCUGAAGCAAAAGGCUAUGAUGAGAAAAGUCAUGCACCACUCUGAAGAGAUUCAUCUCUUUGUGCUGAUAAACAAACUUACAACCCAUUUUACAUCUGAGCCACCUCUUGGUACCUACUUUUGUAUGUCUUCUUUAUUUGCUUUUCAUGUCAUAGAUGGUAGUUACCAGUUUGGGGAAAUAAUGUACAGAACCAGAUGAUGAGGGUUGCCCAAGUGCAAUCCUACCAUGAUGCGGACUGAAAUUUCAUUGAGGUCAAAUACAUUUGCCGCUGAUGGUUCUUCUUUACAAUUCUGCACAUUUUGAAUGCCAGUGCAGUUCUUGGUAACUUCUUUUGUGAACCUUGUUGCAUUUCUUAUGAAUUAUUUUGUGUUCUGUUGAUAUUUAUGUUUGCGAAAUAGGUGCUUUGUAGAAUCCAAGGCUAUGAUGAGAAAAGUCAUGCACCACUCUGAAGAGAUUUAUCUCCUUGUGCUGAUAAACAAACUUACAACCCAUUUUAUAUCUGAGCCGCCUCAUGGUUUUGUAUUUUCUGAUCUGGUUAGACAUAUGUCCUAUUGGUUUUUAAGAAACCAAUUAUUUUAAGGUAAUAACUGGAUUGGAGGGAUAUAAUAACAGAACCAGAUGAUGAGGGUUGCCUAUGAGUGAUCCUACCAUGAUGCGGACUGAAUUUACAUUGAGGUCAAUACAUUUGCCGCUGAUGGUUCUUUCCAAUCCCCCCAAUCUUGAAUGGAUUUUCCCCUUGGUUUUCCAGUGAUGAUAAUGGCUAUGAUGAGAAAAGUCAUGCACCACUCUGAAGAGAUUUGUCUCUUUGUGCUGAUAAAUAAACUUACAACCCAUUUUACUUCUGAGCCAUCUCAGGACUUCGAUUUUCUGAUUUGUUUAUUUGUUUUGAGAAACUGUUUCCAGCUUUGCAUUUGUGAGAAUACUGUAGUUUUGAAAAUAAAAGUCUUGCUGUUAACUGGAUUGGAGGAAUAAUGUAGAGAACCAGAUGACGAGGGUUGCCUAUGGGCGGUCCUACCAUGAUGCGGACUGAAUUACAUUGAGGUCAAAACAUUUGCCGCUGAUGGUUCUUUUUAAUUGAUUUUCCUCCCUAUUUUGAAUGUUCUAUUCGAUGGAACUUGUAUCUGAAUUACUUGGUUUUGCCAAUGAUGUUUCUGUCUGCAAAAUGGAUGCUUGAGCCCCUGUUUCAGGGAGAACCUCUCGAGACAAUGACAACAAUCGACAAGCCUGAGGCAUUGUAAAACAAAAAAAAACAUUUACUGGAGCUUGUAUUUUUGGUUGCCUAAUUAAGUGUUUCAUCUCUUUUUUCUGAAAUUGUAGACGCCAAUCAUGUAGUAUCAGCUUUGCUUAGAUGUGAUUUCUCAAAGUAUUUUGUUUUUCCUGAUUGCAGAAAGCCAUUUCAAAAACAAGGAGCUGCUGAACCUCCUGGAUAAUAUGAAUCAUAUGGUGCUCUCCUCUUGGAUCUUGAUUGUAGCCCCUGCUGUACCAUUGAUACAGAGAGAACAUUGUACUGUGAUUACUUUGGUCAGAUCGCACACCUUUGGCCAGAAUCCUUGUACUUCUUGUGAGACUUAAUGACAUGCACAUAUUUUAACUACCUCCCAAUUGUUGCCUGAAAUUUUGUGGGCAAAUCGUGGCUGAAAUGUGGACGGUUAGACUUGCAGAGGAGCACUCAAUAAAAUUUGUUUGGGGAUGUCUUUUUGGCAAGAUUUGAUUUCAUGUUGAACGGGAUCAGUAUGAUAAGGUUAAGUUCAUAUUAUG